GAUCCUGGCUCAGGAUGAACGCUGGCGGCGUGCCUAACACAUGCAAGUCGAGCGAGAAGCCUUUAAAUGAAACUUCGGUAGAUUUUAGAGGUGGGAAGCGGCGGACGGGUGAGUAACGCGUAGGCAACCUGCCCUUUGCAGAGGGAUAGCCUCGGGAAACCGGGAUUAAAACCUCAUAAAGCUCUGUUAAGACAUCUUAAUAGGGUCAAAGAUUUAUCGGCAAAGGAUGGGCCUGCGUCUGAUUAGUUAGUUGGUGGGGUAACGG
rnacentral:rRNA from 1 species